rnacentral:misc_RNA from 1 species
UGCCAAACGUGCCAAGACAUCAGCUCAGCCGUACGUUUGGUCGGGAAGCGCCUGUAGUCUUCAGCGCGCAUUAAUGUCGCAUCAGUAUCGUGUUCAAAAUGUGCUUGUUAUUAUUUUUGAAAAUCAUCAAAGCCCGUAACUAANUCGGUCAGUACAAAACCCAUAUGCCGACUAAUCGUAAUAAUGCAUUUUUGAUUAGAACUUAGCGUACAUACUAAUUAUUUGCACAAUUUGCACGAUGCCGUUUUUUUCCGACUACGGCAAUUACAUGCACGGGUCGACUCCGUUCUCUUCGCAAUAUUACAGUCAGCUGCUGCCCUACCCUGGGUCCAAUCCCGGUGGCCGGUCUGCAUUCCGCGCGCAUGCGGUCCGUAGUAACUACAACUCGAUGGCGGUCGAACAGACACUGAGGGCCAUACGCAGAGGCCCGGGCGCGUUGGCCGCCCGACACUACGCCCGACCGGUGCACGUAAACACAUCGGAGAUCGACGUUACGUCGCCCCGGCGGCCGCGGCCGACGGCCACGACUGAAACGGCUGUGGACAAUAACGUCGGCGGCGGCGGCGGCGGCGGUGGCGGCAGCGUCAUACACCGUGGCCGCACCGUGGUCCGGUUGCACACGAACAAAAACAAUAACAACAAUAAGAGGUCAGUUAAACCGCCCGAGAACCAGACGGCGCCGGCGGUCACCGUGACCGCGAGUUCGGCGCUGCAGUACGAGGAAGGGCUGGCGAAAAAGGGCACCAUAAAGCGACACACGUCCGCGGGCGUCAAGGUGCCGGUGAACGAUGACCGCCGACCGUCCGUCACCGAUGAGAUAUUGCGCGAGCAGGAGGCGCUGUUCGACACAAUGAUCAUGGAGGAGAUGGAAGGGCAGGAGAAGAGGGUGCGGCGCAAGAGUUAUCCAGUGGACAUGGGUGGUGGUGGUGGUAGUGAUGGUGGUGCAGGUGGUGUUGGGGGUGGUAAACAACCGCACAGGACCAGGGAAACGAGAAAAAAAUCGGUGGCCGCGGCAAUGAUGUAUAGCGAACACCCGGACAAACCGGCUAAGAACAAGACCGCGGGCACCAACUGGAAGNUGAACUACGACGUGAUCAUCGAAGAGAGCGGCAUCGAACCGGUAAGUUUUACGUUCAAGCUGAACAAUACGACGAAGAAAGAAAGCGACGGUCGAAGCGGCGAUAACGGUAAGCUAGACGCUAACCAUAACGUAGUCAUCAGCAGAUCGCAUGAUAACGAUAAUAAACGUGAUCAAAAAAACAACAGCACCGAAAAGCAUGCAAAAACUGUAAUUAAUAAAAAUCAGUGUAAUAAUGAUNAUUCGGAAGGUGGUGUAGUAGGUGUGCCCAUGAAGAAGACGAAAGUAGUGAAAAAGAAAAUAAUCGUCAAGAAGAAAGUGGUCAAGAAGAAGGAAAAAGAGGAGGACGCCGAAAUCCAGCAGGACAAGCAGGAACUGCAGAAGAAAAAAACCCCUUCACCGCCGAAAAAAGGCGGUUCNACGAACGCUGGCGCAGCGUCCGCGGUUAUAACACCGUUUGUACGCGCGUCCUUUGGCAAGACGUUCAUAUCGCCGUCACAAGUGAGCAGCACGAAGAGUAAGUUCGAAAAGCCAAAGCCCAAAAUCAACCUGGAAACGCCACCACCGCCACCAACGGCCCCGAAAACGCCGCCCGCCGCCGACAGCGGAUCGUCGUCUGACGAAUCGUCCGAUGAAGAUGACACGUCUUCGUCGUCGUCGUCGUCAACGUCGUUGUGCAGCGGAAGCAGUGGCAGCACGUUCUACGACUCGGACGAUUACGGAAAUGCGAGAAGCUGAUGCCAAACCUCUGCGGCGUCAAUCAAAAGUUGGUAGUCGAAGCACUAGCUACACUUAAACGAGACUCAUCGUCGUCGUCGGACGCGGCCACCAAUUCAUAUCAGAUCGGCGGCGCUGGAAAUGCGGACGGGGCCGAACGAUCCCUUCGUUCC